UACGUAGGGGGCGAGCGUUGUCCGGAAUCAUUGGGCGUAAAGAGCGUGUAGGCGGUCCGGUAAGUCAGCUGUGAAAGUCAAGGGCUCAACCCUUGAAUGCCGGUUGAUACUGUCGGGCUAGAGUCCGGAAGAGGCGAGUGGAAUUCCCGGUGUAGCGGUGAAAUGCGCAGAUAUCGGGAGGAACACCAAUGGCGAAGGCAGCUCGCUGGGACGGUACUGACGCUGAGACGCGAAAGCGUGGGGAGCAAACAGG
rnacentral:rRNA from 1 species